UCUAGGGCUGGAGUGUAACUCAGUGGUACAGCGUCUGCCUCAAGUGUGCAAGGCCCUGCAUUCCUGCUUGAGCAGGGCAAAGCA
rnacentral:miRNA from 1 species